UGGGGAAUUUUGGACAAUGGGCGAAAGCCUGAUCCAGCAAUGCCGCGUGUGUGAAGAAGGCCUUCGGGUUGUAAAGCACUUUUGUCCGGAAAGAAAUCCUUGGCUCUAAUACAGUCGGGGGAUGACGGUACCGGAAGAAUAAGCACCGGCUAACUACGUGCCAGCAGCCGCGGUAAUACGUAGGGUGCAAGCGUUAAUCGGAAUUACUGGGCGUAAAGCGUGCGCAGGCGGUUUGCUAAGACCGAUGUGAAAUCCCCGGGCUCAACCUGGGAACUGCAUUGGUGACUGGCAGGCUAGAGUAUGGCAGAGGGGGGUAGAAUUCCACGUGUAGCAGUGAAAUGCGUAGAGAUGUGGAGGAAUACCGAUGGCGAAGGCGAGCCCCCUGGGCCAAUACUGACGCUCAUGCACGAAAGCGUGGGGGAGCAAAACAGGAUUAGAUACCCUGGUAGUCCACGCCCUAAACGAUGUCAACUAGUUGUUGGGGAUUCAUUUCCUUAGUAACGUAGCUAACGCGUGAAGUUGACCGCCUGGGGAGUACGGUCGCAAGAUUAAAACUCAAAGGAAUUGACGGGGUCAUAGCUGUUCCU
rnacentral:rRNA from 1 species